AUAUCUUCUGGACUGAUUUCCUCAAUUCUCAUGAGAUUUAAUAUCAUCCCAUAGCUAAGAUGGAAAGCGGAAUUAAGAACGUCAGCUUGACCAUUCAUCAAACAUCGAGCAGCUUGCUCAUCAAUGGAUUGAUCCAAUAUUACAAUGGAUAAUCCUUUAGUAUCAAUUCCUCUUCUACCUGCACGUCCGCUCAUUUGCAUAUAUUCACCAGAUGUAAGCCAUCGAAAAUUGUUUCCUGAAAACUUUUGAGCUUUUGUAAACAGAACUGUUCGAGCAGGCAUAUUUAACCCAAUUGAGAAAGUUUCUGUUGCAAACAAAAUUCUAACAAGACCUUCUUGAAAUAAUAUUUCGACCAAUUCUUUCAAAAUAGGAAGCAAACCAGAAUGAUGAAUACCUAUGCCACGAAGUAAAAGCGAACGCAUUUCUUCAAAUUGACGGAGGCCUCUAUCUUCUUCUGAAAGUUGAUUGAUAGCAGAGUCGAAAAUUUCUGUAACUAAUUCUUUAUUUUCCGUA